AGCAAGGAAGAUUGUAACAGCAAGAAGGUGAGGAAGUGUAGAGGGUGGUUCUGGUAGGACAGAGUAUCCACCACAGAAUACCUCUUUUGUCCUUCAGCAUCCAUUCUUGAUGCUUUUUCUGAAUGACAAUUCUGUGUCCCUUACACAGGAAACAGAAAUUCUAAUCAGUGACUAUAUCAUUACACAGUAAUGUCAAUUCAGUCAUACUUCCCCCAGAAAC
rnacentral:lncRNA from 1 species